rnacentral:rRNA from 1 species
CGAACGCUGGCGGCAUGGAUUAGGCAUGCAAGUUGAACGAACUCCUUCGGGAGUGAGUAGCGGAAGGGUGAGGAACGCGUGAGUAAUCUGCCCCCCAGUUGGGAAUAACAGUUGGAAACGACUGCUAAUACCGAAUGUGGCUUAAGCUUCGCCUGGAGCUUUGGCUAAAGAUUUAUCGCUGGGGGAUGAGCUCGCGUCCCAUUAGGUAGUUGGUGAGGUAACGGCUCACCAAGCCGACGAUGGGUAGCUGGUCUGAGAGGAUGGUCAGCCACACUGGGACUGAGACACUGCCCAGACUCCUACGGGAGGCUGCAGUCGAGAAUCUUGGGCAAUGCGCGAAAGCGUGACCCAGCAAUGCCGCGUGUAUGAUGAAGGCCCUCGGGUCGUAAAGUACUGUCUCCCGUGACGAAAUUUGACGGUAGCGGGGAAGGAAGCCACGGCUAACUACGUGCCAGCCGCGGC